CCCAAGACCUCCCUGCAGAACUGAUGGGGGAUGCAUCAGAGUUGGCUGUGUGCGUUUGAAAAUUGAAACAUACAAAAGUAAGUGUGUGUGUGUGUAUGUAAUAGAAAAGCUCUGUAAAGAAGCCUGCAACAAUUCUUGCUUAAAAUCCCUUUUCUUCUCACUUUUCAACAGAAAAAUCCAUGUCUGAAUCAAUCCAACUAACAACACUUGACCUCGUCUUGCCUGACUUCAUAAGUGACUUGCUGUAAAAGGGAUUAUAAUAGGAGAAAGCUAGAACGUUUGAGCAUUGAUUGAUGCAGUCUUGUUUUGAGUUGACCAUUGCUACAUGUAAAAUGAUCUUCAACCUUACCAGUUAAAUUCUGGAUCACUCUCUAAAAUUCUGAGCUGCUACUCGCCACUGAACUUUUCAUCUUACAACUAGUAGGGUGGUCCUUGGCCUAAAAAAAAUGAGGACAGGUGUUAAUUCGUAGAUUAGAUUGCAAAUAAGAAUGAUGAGCAUAACUCUACCUUUUUCUCUAAUUUUCAGAGCCCAACUUGUUCUGCAUCUUUAGUAUAUUAUUGUUUGUCAUUUUGAAGGUCAAACUAUAAAUCAAGCCCUGCAGCUGAUCUUAUUCUUUAAUGUGAACAAAAUUGUUACAUUUUGCUCUGCAUACACUGCCUUUUUCUCUUUUUUCUUCCAACCUAAUUCUCAGAAUUACACAGUAACUAAAUUACCCAAGCACUGGUUUGAGUUUAGUUGAGCAUCUUUAGUAUCAAUUUAUCUGAUACAUCCUCAGCCAAAAUGUAAUAUAUUUACUAAAUGCACCAAAAAAGUGAUCUAUGGUGUGAUGAUCUCUAUAUGGAAAAUAAAUUAUUAAUUUAAAAUAGGCAUUUUCAUUG
rnacentral:misc_RNA from 1 species